rfam:Ovis aries breed Texel chromosome 15, whole genome shotgun sequence.
UCCCUGGUGGCUCAGAGGUUAAAGCAUCUGCCUGCAAUGCGGGAGACCUGGGUUCGAUCCCUGGGUCGGGAA